GACGAACGCUGGCGGCGUGCCUAACACAUGCAAGUCGUACGGAGUUCACUUGGAAGCUUGCUUCCGAGUGAACUUAGUGGCGGACGGGUGAGUAACGCGUGAGCAACCUGCCUCACAGAGGGGGAUAACACACGGAAACGUGUGCUAAUACCGCAUAAUCCGAUGAAGCGGCAUCGCUUUAUCGGCAAAGGAGCAAUCCGCUGUGAGAUGGGCUCGCGUCCGAUUAGAUAGUUGGUGAGGUAACGGCUCACCAAGUCUACGAUCGGUAGCCGGACUGAGAGGUUGGACGGCCACAUUGGGACUGAGACACGGCCCAAACUCCUACGGGAGGCAGCAGUGAGGGAUAUUGCACAAUGGGCGAAAGCCUGAUGCAGCGACGCCGCGUGAGGGAUGACGGUCUUCGGAUUGUAAACCUCUGUCCUUGGUGAAGAAGAAAGUGACGGUAGCCAAGGAGGAAGCCAACGGCUAACUACGUGCCAGCAGCCG
rnacentral:rRNA from 1 species